GCCCCGAGUUUCUCGAAAAACUCGUCACUUUUCUGUCGAGGCGCCGCCCGAGAAAAAGCUCGUUUUCUUCAAAUCACGCACUUUCUUCGGUCAAUUCAUACCCCUAUAAACUACAUUUUUAAAUGUGUUAUCAAUACUUUUUAUAUACACUUUUAAGGGGGGGAAUACAAGUAAACCUAAAGUUUCACUAUAUACUCUUUUUAUCAAGUAAAUCAUAUGUGAUUCAUAACUACCACGUGGAACCUUUCAUACGCAAAAUAUAUCACGAUAACAUCUUGUCUUUUGAAAUUAAAUAUGUUGUUACACAUAUACGAAUCAAACACUUUAUUUAUACUUUGAGUAUAUGUGUUCAUUUAUGUCACUACAAAAGCUACACUUUACAUAACAAGUGAGCAUUUCAUUAGAGUUUACUAUACAAACGAAACAAACUUUUGGAAAAACUAUAAUAGUAUACGACAAACAUUUUUACAUGUUAAAAACUCUUUAUUAAACUGUCUUACAUACUUCAUGCUUCCUUUCAAACGCUGUUAGAAUCGUGUUUCAAACAAAGGUCUUCUUAUACUUAAAAUUGUUCUUAUCAAACAAACUACUUUCAAAUCGUUUUAAAAACUGACAUCAAGUCAUCAUUUCUUAUUUAUUAAACUUUCCAAAGGUUUUACAAAACUUCUUUUAUAUUUUUAUAUUGGCAAAUGCAUGCCUAUAUAUGUAUCAUUAUAUAAGUAAUGUUUGAAGGACUUAGGACGGCUAGCUCGCUUUAUUUCCUUUUCCUCGUUGGGAUGUGGCUUUAGGACAUCGGUUAUUCGUCUGAAUGUCGUCUAAAUAUUAGUUAUAUAUAUCAUAAGUACAUAUAUAGACAUAAAAGUUUCCGUCAGUUGGUUCAGUACCUUUGAGUAGCAAAGGCGUAUUUCGGUUAUACACAUACAAUACUAUAAACUAUAAUACGUAUAGUUAGGAGAUACUACUUACCAUCCCAAGUACAAGGGAUCACACAAGAGUCAGUUUAUUCAUGAGUCUAUACAAAUACAUUACAUACUAUAUGAAGAGAUACGAUUACAUACAAUUUCAAGACAUACAAUUACAAGAGAUACGAUUACAUAAGAUAGUGUACUAGAUAUUCAUGAAAUUUUACAUAUUACAAGUACCAUAUCAAAGAGAUAUUUUCAUAUACAAGAACAAAUGGACAUUUUCAUACGUAAAUCUGUUUUAUACUAGGUUUUGUGAGACGUUUCACGUACUUUCGAGUAUGCAUUAUUAAGUCCUGUAUUAUAUACCAUAAUCCCUUGUAAGGGGAGCGUGAUACUUGUGUAUAGAUCUAUACGGGAUUGACAAUCCCGCACCUAAACUGUUAGCUACAGUUAGACCGGCAGGUCUAGGGUGACAAACGUCAUAACAUUCCAACGCCUGAAGAACGUUGUUAUUGGCAGUCUGGAUCAUUAGCAUGGUUAUAAAACUCACAUGGAGUAUUAAAAGCACGUUGAUAUACGGGGUUAUCAAAUACCUUAGCGAUUUUAUAUGUACACAAAUCCACUAUUUUAGGCAUGAAAACACCAUUGUAGUUCAUUUUUUGGGACUUUUAAACUACCACCCACUUAUGGGCAAAUAUUGGAUUUCUAAUAGCAAACAUUUAAAACAGUCGGGUCUUGGUAGAAGACUACUUUUUAUACUAGUAGAAAAUAUGGGAUUUUCUAGGGUUUCAAACGUUUACAAUUACUUACAAACAUGUUCAUUGGUACAAACUUUCCUUCAAACAUUUACAGGUUUUUAUUUACUGAUUUACAAAUCAAAGUCACAUAAAUACUUAUGAAUUCACCAGCAUUAUUGCUGAUACUCGCUUUCAAAAUGACUUGUAUUCUCGGGACACAGAUAGACAGGUACGACUACCAGGUUCUGUGAAGACGAAGCAGUCAAGACUCGUCUUUUAUUUUGAAUAUUCAUUUUGUAGAAUUAUAUUAUGAAAGAACUCAAAUGUAAUUAAAAUUAUACUAUUAAUGCAAUGGAUGAUGUUGUUGCUUGUUUACUACUUUGCAUUGUUCUGAUACAUUACAUGACGUCCUCCGCCCCAUAACGUUUCCGCCGUUCUCGGUUUUGGGGUGUGACACAUUUGGUGCGAUCUUUCAAUCCCGAUUCGAUCUUACAAUAGCGCUCUUGUAAAAUGUUAAUGCUCUUAGGUAAGAUCUUGAUUUUGACAACACUAAUAUUAUUAUAAAGCUAUGUGGUAUACCUCUAAUGCCAUAACUAUGGGUGUUCACGGUCCGGUUUUUUUGGUUUUUAGGUCAAAUCGAAACCAAACCGUUAGUAACAGUUUUUGUCAUGCGAAAACCGAANUAGUCAAAACUGGGAUGAUAUAGCCUGAUCAACUAUAUUAUCCGAGGGUUGACUAGCAUGUGCCUAAGUGACGUUGUGAGUUGCAACAAGUCUAAAAACUUACCCAUAAUACAACAAUGAGAACAAUAGAACAUAAACCUAAAAUACUACAGGAGUAUUUUGAGUAUUACUAUAAACUACUUAUGUGUUAGAUUCUUAUACCCCAAUUAUCGCAUAGAUAACAUAGCUGGACCCCAUCCCCACGACGAACCGUACUACCCGAACAAAGGCAAUGCUGGAUGGUUCAGAGAAGAACCAGAGAAUGAUUAUCCACUCCCUUUUGAAUGAUCACCAUGCUGAAGAUCUUUCGGGUGAUGAUAACUCCGAACUCGAGGAUGAGAACCUACCCCCGGUAGCUCCCAAUUCAAAACCUAACCCUCGUCCAGCUCUUCAUGGCUCGACGCUUCCUUGGGUAGAAUGCUUGGAAACAUGGAGCGAAGAGCAAGAUCAACCUAUGUCGUCUAAAGGAGACCGAAGCUACUACAACUUAAGCGAAGGGAUCUCAAUAGACAAAGUUCUACAAAUCCUGAUCCGUAGAGUUGCCCGAAACAAAAUUCAAGGCAGGACGACUCUCCAUUAUAUCGAAGAGGUUAAAUGCCAAUGCAAGAAUGCAUACCAUCCACACCAAUCGUCUUGAAAACACUCGUGAGAGAUCUGAUAGAGACCAUGAGACCCUGCUGCAAGCAUUAGCUAAAACACGAGCCGAAGCAUAGAGCUACAAGUACGCCAGAGAAUGUACGAAAGACACUUGCUUGAUAAUGGAACUUCAAUUGGCUAAACUAAGAGUUCACCAAAAGGAUGACCGCUGCCAGUAAGAAAUACUUUAUUUCCCUUCCUUGUUUAAAGGAAUCGUUUUCCUGUGUAUGUCCUAUGUAGCAUUUUUCUAUGUAACUAUCUUAUACUGUAAGUACGGUUAGUUAGGCCUUUAUGCGGCCAAAACCUUUCUACUCCGGAUAUGAUGCAAGACCUUCUUCAAGAUAAAAUUUUCCUAAACUUAUUACAUCUUAAACAUCGAUGAUAUUGACAGUCGGCUAACUUCCGUGUCAGUCUUUGUUCAAAAACCCUCAUCAUACCUUCAUUGGAGUCUAUCUGAAACAUGCUUUAGUCAAGUCAUUGGACUAUAGUAAUUUAACUCCGGAGACAUUUCCAAGUCUCUUUUAGUGGUCGGAUCAUGUUAUUCGCCAACCAACGAUACCUCGGCUUGAACGAAAAACGUCUUAAGACCAUUCUACAAACACACUUCUACUCUGUACUAGGACUGCAUCAUAGGGAUGUAGGUCAAACUUCCGAGAACAUACUCUUACUCUUUACUUAAGCGAUCGAAAUACAUCUAGGUUCAACCAUAAUAUCUCACGAACUCCUUUCUCUUUCGUGUUACAGAAUCAUGUCGCCGAAGAAAAGUAAUCAACCCAUCAGCCAAACACCAACUCUUCAGAUUGAUGCAGCUACCUUUCAAGCUGCAGUCUCAGCUGCCGAGACAGCUGUUCUGACUCACCUUAACGCUAACAACACAAAUGUUAGCAGGAUGGUUUUCAAUAAUUCCAAUCCAAGUAACAACCAAGUACACCCAUGAGUAAUAAACUACCACGACACUCCGAACCUCAAACCAAAGAGUAAUAAACGAAAAUUUGGGAUAAAGUUAAAGGCAAAUCACCUCGAGGGAUAAACAAGAAACCAUCACCAGUGGCAGCCUUCGCAACCACGACAUCUGCAACUCCUACCACCAACACUACUAGUAUCCCAAUUAUCCCUAACCCGGCCAGACAGUAUACGGGAAACCUACCGAGUUGCAAUAAGUGCAGCUUCCAUCACCUAGGUAGUUGUUGUUUGUUACACUGCAAGACCUGCUACAAGAACGGACACACUACUCGUUUCUACAGGACUCGGGUCCAACACAUUAUUUCAGCCACCAAUGUCGAAACUUCUCGGAUAUGCCAUCUAUGUGUUUUAAUGGGACACUUCAAGAGGGACUGCCCAACAGAGAAGAAUGGAAGUGGAACAGGAGGAGUUUGACCUCAGAAUGGAAAAAGGCAAUGAAGGACCCAACAAUAAUAGGGACUCACUUCCAAUCGUCAGCAUUAAGUAUGAUGUUAAACAGGUUUAAAACUAGUGCAACUCNUUGUCAGCAUUAAGUAUGCUGUUAAACAUGUUUAAAACUAGUGCAACUCGAGUCUUAUCUUUUGAGAGAUCCCGUCAGAAAAGGGGACCCUCGUGCUGCAUAUACUUGCCUUUUGUAGUAUACCUUGUUCACAACAAUAGUCUUGUAGUAAAACCAAAGUAUUCUAACUCUGUUAAAGUUGCAUUGUUGUGUUUUGUCUGUAACACCCUUAUGAUCAAAUCUAAUACCUUUAUUUCCAAGUAAGUCCGAUAUCAUCAUACAACUUGACUCAAUUCGAUCCUCGCUAUACCAGUUUCGUGUGUACUUCUCCUUCUCCGAAAACGUCUUUCUAGCGAAGCCGUCAUUCCAGAACACCGAAGUACUCAUGCAUAGAGUACCUCAUGUUUCUUAUCCUUCCCAAAGAAACCUCAGCAAACCUCCCCGAAGUACCACUCGUGCAGUACGUCAAGUUCAAUUCAAAGACCCACCUUUUCAAUCUUAAUUAUAUGCGACUCGUAUACCCGAGGCUGUGAUUGAUGAACCAGGUAUGAGUUCUACUAUGAACUUUAGGACAGAGACUACCCAAGACUGUGAGUGAUCGUGCUUCCGUGAGAAUAAACUUAGAAAUACCUAUCCUUUUCCCUAAUUCAUGAGUAGUCAUAAUUUCUUUUAUAUCUUCACGACAGCUAAUCCACCCCAAGGUUUUGACAUCAUAAUCAGUAGGAGUUGGUUAGUCUACAUCGAGCCGACAUCAGGUGCUUUGAUAAAGCAGUUCGUCUUAACCUCCCUAAACAACGAAGCCCUAUUUAUUUACAGCGACGAACCAAGUACGAACCCUCUCAUCAUUUCGUGUAUGCAAGCUCAGAAAUGCUUACAAAAGGAAUAUCAUGCAUUCCUUGCACACAUCGCCAAGACGUGCCGAGAAGUGAAGGACAUUCAGAACAUCCAAGAAGUAUGCGGUUUUCCCGACACCUUUCUAGAAGGACUACCGAGACUACCAACACAACGUCAAGUCGAAUUCAGAAUCGACUUAGUUCCAGGGGCUACCCCAGUAGCCAAAUCACCUUGUUGUCUAGCUCCAACCGAGAUGCAAGAACUUCCUAGCGAGCUUAACAAACUCCUCAGAAGGGGAUUCUUUAGGCCAAGUUUCUCGCUUGGAUGAGCACCGGACUUGUCUGUAAACAAGAAAGAGUGUUCCAAACGCUAAAGUAAGCCUAAUGCAUCGCACCAAUAUUAUCCCUCCCAAAAGGGAUAGAAUAUUUCGUGGUGUAAUGCGAUGCAUCCAAUCAAGGGCUUGGUUGUGUUCUUAAGCAAGAGGAAAAGUCACUGCAUAUACCUAAAGACAGCUUAAGACAUAGGAAGUUAACUAUUCAACACGUGAUCUUGAGUCAUGAGCAGCGGUAAUUCCUCAGAAGAUCUGGAGACACUAAUUAUAGGGUACAAGGCUUAAUACUCUCACAGACCACAAAAACACUCAGCAUACAUUCAACCAAGAAGAGUUAUCACCCCAGUGAAGGCAAGCAAAAGAAACAAAGUCGUAUCCCGAUAGUGAAAGGUUCGAUGGAAUGCCAAGCAAGGACCAGAGUUAACUUAAGAACACGAGUAGCAAAUAAAAACUUCUAUCCGUAGCAUGAUUAAAUGCUGCUUAAACUCUAAUUUCGGGACGAAAUUCCCUCUAAUAGGGGGAUGAUGUGACAACCCGACAUUUUGAGACAAUAUAAUGUAACACCAGCCAAAUUUAGGUCAAAAUUUAACUUUCCUAAAAUCUUAUUUGGGUUAAAUAAAGUGGUAGGAAUCGUACCGAGGUUUUCGUACAUAUAAAGAACAGUAAAAUCCAAGUUAUAACGAAGAAGUUAUGACCAAUCUAAAAUUUGCGGCAAAAACCGGCAACUCUAAUAGACGUAAAACGCAAAGUUUCGAUACAAUAAUUUUUAGCCUUAGGUAUCUAAACGAAAGUCGUAGAUUACGUUAAACCGUGAUCAUGCAUAAAAAGAACGCCUAAAACAGACUUCGUAUGAAGAAGUUACAAAUUUUCUAAGUUUCGUAACAGCGGUAGACAGCUAAAAACUCGAAAUAAAGAUUGAGCGAUUUUUAGCCGACACAACUUAAAUGAGAGUUGAAGGUCUCGACAAUAGUAGUUCAAUGGUAAAAAGACAAACGAAAACGGACGUCGGAUAAAGAAGUUAUGUAUAUUAAACGAAGUUAUCGUGUCCCGGCCUAUUAAUUAAAAUAUAAUAAAAAAUAAAGUCAAAAUUAGCCGACGGAGUCUAAAUGAAAGUUGUAGAGUAUUUUCUCACCUUCGCAUGGAUUUAAAGAACGUCAAAAACGGAGCACGUAUGCGAAAGUUAUGGAUUUUACAAGUUCAAGGCACACACACCAAGACGAUUUACGCCCAGCGUACCCUCGUACGCCCAGCGUACUCGGGUGCUAGGCCUCGGUUCGUCCACGUCGCUCCGGGUCCCAUCCAAUGCUCCGCCCGAGGAUGCAGUAAGCGCUGACGUCGCGUACGCCCAGCGUAACCAGUACGCCCAACGUACUCCGAAAUUACGCCCAGCAUAACGAGUACGCCUAGCAUACUCCGAAUUUACGCCCAGCGUAAUCCCUCUUUCAGCACCCUAUAAAUAGAAUGUGAGGGUCCUGGCCAUCCUUGCUCAUUUUUUUCACUUCUCUCACAUUUUAACCUCGUUUUUCGUGCCGACAAUAUCCCGGCUUCCCGGUUUCAUAUCUAAGCCCCGACGAAGGUCCGAAGCCCCGAUUUUCUCGAAAAACUCGUCACUUUCCGGUCGAGGCGCCACCCGAGAAAAAGCUCGUUUUCUUCAAAUCACGCACUUUCUUCGGUCAGUUCAUACCCCUAUAAACUACAUUUUUAAAUGUGUUAUCAAUACUUUUUAUAUACACUUUUAAGGGGGGGAAUACAAGUAAACACACGAUUAUUAUCGUGUGUAACCUAAAGUUUCACUAUAUACUCUUUUUAUCAAGUAAAUCAUAUGUGAUUCAUAACUACCACGUGGAACCUUUCAUACGCAAAAUAUAUCACGAUAACAUCUUGUCUUUUGAAAUUAAAUAUGUUGUUACACAUAUACGAAUCAAACACUUUAUUUAUACUUUGAGUAUAUGUGUUCAUUUAUGUCACUACAAAAGCUACACUUUACAUAACAAGUGAGCAUUUCAUUAGAGUUUACUAUACAAACGAAACAAACUUUUGGAAAAACUAUAAUAGUAUACGACAAACAUUUUUACAUGUUAAAAACUCUUUAUUAAACUGUCUUACAUACUUCAUGCUUCCUUUCAAACGCUGUUAGAAUCGUGUUUCAAACAAAGGUCUUCUUAUACUUAAAAUUGUUCUUAUCAAACAAACUACUUUCAAAUCGUUUUAAAAACUGACAUCAAGUCAUCAUUUCUUAUUUAUUAAACUUUUCAAAGGUUUUACAAAACUUCUUUUAUAUUUUUAUAUUGGCAAAUGCAUGCCUAUAUAUGUAUCAUUAUAUAAGUAAUGUUUGAAGGACUUAGGACGGCUAGCUCGCUUUAUUUCCUUUUCCUCGUUGGGAUGUGGCUUUAGGGCAUCGGUUAUUCGUCCGAAUGUCGUCUAAAUAUUAGUUAUAUAUAUAUCAUAAGUACAUAUAUAGACAUAAAAGUUUCCGUCAGUUGGUUCAGUACCUUUGAGUAGCAAAGGCGUAUUUCGGUUAUACACAUACAAUACUAGAAACUAUAAUACGUAUAGUUAGGAGAUACUACUUACCAUCCCAAGUACAAGGGAUCACACAAGAGUCAGUUUAUUCAUGAGUCUAUACAAAUACAUUACAUACUAUAUGAAGAGAUACGAUUACAUACAAUUUCAAGACAUACAAUUACAAGAGAUACGAUUACAUAAGAU
rnacentral:lncRNA from 1 species